CCCACAUACACCUCCCUCUACUGCCAAAAGAUAAUCCAAGGCUAAUCUAUUUUGGUAAACUGCUGUCCUCAUCCUGGUAUUAUGCUUCGCUAGAAGAUUGAGCGCUUGUGAUAUCUCGUUAGUAAUGAUCUCAACCACCGCCUGUAACCUUAUAAUGCGGUUGAGCAUAUAAAUAGGGGUUCUAUAACCAAAGGUACCAUCCUCUGCCCACGUGGCUGGCCCAUAAUAAUCUAUAAUACUCUGGGAAGGCCAUUCAUUAUCUUCCCAGGCACCUAUCUCUAUGGGUCCCCUUUUCUUCCUAUGAUUCACAUCAUACACUUUAACACCUAAAGUCUCACCUGUUUCAAUAGGCAACA